UACUUUGCCCUUAGCUCCUUGUUCAGCCCACAGUUUUGAUUACAAUUUUCUCAGCUGCCAUGAAGGCCACACAGGUGUCUUCAUUUUCACAAAGCGCUGCUCUCUUUUGACCUCCUCGUUACUGUACUCUCCAUCUCCCUCAUCUUCUCAGUAUUGCUGCCAGGCUUGGGCUCAUCAACAUUUUCUGCUCAAUCUCUCUAUGACUUUAAACCCAUGAGCCUUAAUGACUUCUCAUCAGCUUUCAAUCCUCUCCCCCUCUCAGUCCACCCUUUCAUUUGUUAACGUGGUACUUGGUCCUGUCUAUGUUUAUAUCUGGUCCACCUUCGGUCAUCACUAUGGCAACUGCCUCCAUCUUGCCUGUCAUUCAACCCAUAGUACAAGCUGCACCUUUGGCUAGAACUCCAUAACAUCAGCAGUUUUCCUAAAGAAAAAUCCAUCACGCUUCCUCACCAGCCCAGCUCUGCUUUGCUUAUGAGCCCUGACAAGAUCACAGCUUGAGGGAGAAGAAACCUGCACCUCUCUCUACAUUUUCCCCAUGAAAAUUCUCCUCAGGAAUUUCCCCUCCGCAGGAAAAGCAGAUGAAGCAAAUGGAGAAGCUGUCAAUCAACAGGAGACAAUGCCAGGAGACCUACCUCCUGGGAGCCAGUCUGAUGGACACCUGCAGUCCAGGCUCACACCAAAAUGCCAUGCUCAGGGAAAUAGCACAAUGCUUCUUCUCCCAGGAGGCAUAAGGAGAAUGAAGACUACACAUGUUGGCAGUGUCUGGGUAAUGAGUAACGCUGAUCAAGAGACUCCAGUGACUUUGCGAUGAGCAUGAUUAGGGCUGCAUUGUCCAAGACUGUAAAUCCUUUCUGCAUGGCUGCUCACUGCGCGCAGAAGAGUCAGGCAUUUUCCUCUGAAUAGUAGAGAUUCACAGAGACUUUCAUCCAUUUUCCCUGGGUGAAGAGGGAUGGUGUAAGCCUGAGAGUAUGUCACUGAUGUGUAUUAAAAACAGGUUUGUUUAAGUCAUAAAUAACUAUUACAAAAAACUUAAAAGUAAAACAGGAGGCAUCUUAGUCUGAAUUUAAUUUGUGUUUGUGUACUCCCUGGCAGAUACUGUGUGAGACAGGUUUCAUCAAAAUGAACAGAUAUACUUUUCUGUGCCUACAAAUAAGAAAUAAAAGGUGUGGGGGGAAAAUACCCAGAAUUGUUUGUUUCUGCUAGAGCUGAGCUGCCAGCCAGUUUGAAAGCCAGAUGGCUGUAAGUUAAUUCCAGUACCAACUGUCCAAUUCCUAGAUGCCUGUUUGACAAUAUUGUUCUUCUUUAUUUGUUUACUUUAGGAAUAGCUCUGUAGGGAGGUUUACCAUCUCUAUCAUCCUCACUUAGGGGAAAGCCUAUGUGAAGAAAGAAAGGGUUAGGAAAACAGAACUGGGGAGGUUUCCCAGGGAAGCCUUUUUCCUAAUCCUUCCAGGAUUAUAUUGACUUGAGUGGCUUGCUGAAAACAAAAGCUCUCAAUUGCCAAAUUGGUCCAGUCCUCACAUGAUAAGGACACCUGAGCCCUCCCUGCCAGACAGCAGGUAUGUAUCCACAGCAGUGCUCUUACCGCAUAAUUGAGCUUCACUGACAUCUCCUUGGCGUUCAAAGCCCUCUUGCUCAGUGACAUGCUUCAGAGGGCUCAUCUCAAAAGCUAAUCCUCACCCCGGGCUAUCUUGACUUCUGAAAAGGUUCUGGGGGGAAUUUCUGUGAAUUCCCAGAAACCAACCCAACACCCCACAGAGGACUCCUGUGGCACCCAGAUGGAGGGCUAAUGCCAUCAGUAGUUAUAUGCUGAUGUUUCUAGGUCCACCUUUUCAAAACUUGCCAACACUUGAAGAGUUUUAGCAAUGGUGACCCAACAAGCUUCUGAAGCCUAUUAACCUAUCCGAGCAACUAAUCCAAGGGACAGUCAGCAAUUCAGAUGACAGAAUUUAGAAUUUGUCUAUUUGAUGGUAGAUACAAAAAUGGGCUUACAUGAGUUUUUUCUCAUUUUCCAGAACUGUACUUG